GUAGGGGUAGAGAUGUGUAGGGGUAGAGAUGUGUAAAGGUAAAGAUGUGUAGGGGUAGAGAUGUGUAGGGGUAGAGAUGUGUAGGGGUAGAGAUGUGUAAAGGUAAAGAUGUGUAGGGGUAGAGAUGUGUAGGGGUAGAGAUGUGUAAAAGAACAGAUGUGUAGAGGUAGAGAUGUGUAGAGGCAGUGAUGUGUCGAGGCAGUGAUGUGUAGAGGUAGAGAUGUGUAUAGGCAGUGAUGUGUAGGGGUAGAGAUGUAUAGAGGCAGUGAUGUGUAUUGGCAGUGAUGUGUAGAGGCAGUGAUGUGUAGAGGCAGUGAUGUGUAGAGGCAGUGAUGUGUAGAGGCAGUGAUGUGUAGAGGUAGAUAUGUGUAGAGGCAGUGAUGUGUAGAGGUAGAGAUGUGUAGAGGUAGAGAUGUGUAGAGGUAGAGAUGUGUAGAGGCAGUGAUGUGUAGGGCUAGAGAUAGAAAGUAAAGGACAUGAGAUAAAAGGAGAUAGAAGUAGAUAACUGAGAGCAAAACAAACACAACGUCCUCACUCACCAUGCAUCAUAACUCUCCUCAU
ensembl:lncRNA